CGCUGGCGGCAGGCCUAACACAUGCAAGUCGAGCGCCCCGCAAGGGGAGCGGCGGACGGGUGAGUAACGCGUGGGAACGUACCCUUUGCUACGGAAUAGCCUCGGGAAACUGGGAGUAAUACCGUAUGUGCCCUUCGGGGGAAAGAUUUAUCGGCAAAGGAUCGGCCCGCGUUGGAUUAGGUAGUUGGUGGGGUAAUGGCCUACCAAGCCGACGAUCCAUAGCUGGUUUGAGAGGAUGAUCAGCCACACUGGGACUGAGACACGGCCCAGACUCCUACGGGAGGCAGCAGUGGGGAAUCUUAGACAAUGGGCGCAAGCCUGAUCUAGCCAUGCCGCGUGAGCGAUGAAGGCCUUAGGGUUGUAAAGCUCUUUCAGUGGGGAAGAUAAUGACUGUACCCACAGAAGAAGCCCCGGCUAACUCCGUG
rnacentral:rRNA from 1 species